GACGUAGGGCGCGAGCGUUGUCCGGAUUUAUUGGGCGUAAAGAGCUCGUAGGCGGCUUGUCGCGUCGUUCGUGAAAACCUGCAGCUCAACUGCAGGCUUGCGGUCGAUACGGGCAGGCUAGAGUUCGGUAGGGGAGACUGGAAUUCCUGGUGUAGCGGUGAAAUGCGCAGAUAUCAGGAGGAACGCCGGUGGCGAAAGCGCGCGACUGGACCUCUUCUGACGCUGAGGCGCGAAAGCCAGGGGAGCGAACGGG
rnacentral:rRNA from 1 species